GUACUUCCGCCAACGUGCCCUGGGCCUCGGUCGCGACGCGAUUCACGGAAGUUCCUGAAGCAGAAGCGAUUCCGGUUUCAAGAGGAUCGGCUAAGCUGUUCAGUGAGACUUCCUCCAACUUUCUCAGGCCCUCUCGGGUUGUUGUUGCUUUUUUUUAACCUGGAUGUGACGUACUAAAGGAGUCGACGGAAGUAGAACCGAAGGGGUUCUAAAAUGGCGAACCGUACGGUAAAGGAUGCGCACAGCAUCCACGGCACCAACCCUCAGUAUCUGGUGGAGAAGAUCAUUCGGACUCGAAUCUAUGAGUCCAAGUAUUGGAAGGAGGAGUGCUUUGGCCUUACGGCUGAACUUGUAGUUGAUAAAGCCAUGGAAUUAAGGUUCGUGGGUGGUGUCUAUGGUGGCAACAUAAAGCCAACUCCCUUCCUGUGUUUGACCUUGAAGAUGCUUCAGAUUCAGCCCGAGAAGGAUAUCAUUGUAGAGUUUAUCAAAAAUGAAGAUUUCAAGUAUGUCCGCAUGUUGGGAGCACUUUACAUGAGGUUGACAGGCACUGCCAUUGAUUGCUACAAGUACUUGGAGCCUCUGUACAAUGACUAUCGAAAAAUCAAGAGCCAGAACCGAAAUGGGGAGUUUGAACUGAUGCAUGUAGAUGAGUUUAUUGAUGAACUACUGCACAGUGAGAGAGUCUGUGAUAUCAUUCUUCCCCGGCUACAGAAACGCUAUGUACUUGAGGAAGCUGAGCAACUGGAGCCCCGGGUCAGUGCUCUAGAAGAGGACAUGGAUGAUGUGGAGUCCAGUGAAGAGGAGGAAGAAGAAGACGAGAAGCUGGAGAGAGUGCCAUCACCUGAUCACCGCCGGAGAAGUUACCGAGACUUGGACAAGCCCCGUCGCUCUCCCACACUACGGUAUCGGAGGAGCAGGAGUCGAUCUCCCAGAAGGCGGAGUCGGUCUCCCAAAAGAAGAAGCCCCUCCCCUCGCCGCGAAAGGCAUCGGAGCAAGAGUCCAAGACGUCACCGUAGCAGGUCUCGUGACAGACGGCACAGAUCCCGUUCCAAGUCCCCAGGUCAUCACCGUAGUCACAGACACAGGAGCCACUCAAAGUCUCCCGAAAGAUCUAAGAAAAGCCACAAGAAGAGCCGGAGAGGGAAUGAGUAAUGGACUCAGUCUGGUUUUAGUCCAGAUGGCCUUCUGUGGAGGAGACAGCAUCUGUGUGGGAGAACAAAUGAAGAUCUAUUCCCCAGGCAGCUAUGGGAAUAUUUUAGAUUUGUUUUUUAACACCAAGUUUCUUCACUUUUUCUUUUUUUUUUUUAAUGAAAGAGGUACUGAGUUUUGUAUCUCUUUUUGAAUUGUAAUCCACAUAUUUGAGGGAUGAUGCUUCCCAAAAGCUGCUUUUGACCUCUUUGUAUGACCAACCUUGUUUGUACUCAAAUUAUGAGGGUAGAAUGCAUUUGGAUAGAGGGUACGAAUGAUGGGGAGGAUGUAGCCCCCGGUGACCUUUUGCUAUUAAAUUUGAUAUACCCAUUUCCUAUUUUUCUGUGGUUUAGUUUUGGUUUACUACAGGAUUGUAAUUCUUCUGAGGAUCCUGAGAUUUGUGCUACUGCUAUUAUGGUAAAAACUCAAAGUCAGUAAAAUAUGUUAGCUCCAGCUUUUAUUUCCAGCAGCAGCAAGUAGUAAUAAACAUGAAAUCUGACUGGUUAGCAGCUUUGUAAGAAAAGAAUGCAUUCAAUUGUAAA